rnacentral:pre_miRNA from 1 species
AGUGAAAUUGCUGUGCCAUAUGGUAAUUCCACGUUUCUUUUUAUAAGAAACUACCAAACUGUUUUCUAGAGUGGUUAUACCAUUGUACAGUGCCACCAGUAGU